rnacentral:misc_RNA from 1 species
CCCAAAACUUCCAGACCGAUAAAAGAUAAUCCUGUAUAUCUAAUCUCUUCAGCAAUUAGAUUCUAAAAAUCAAUUAAAGGAACGAGAAAAAUUAUCCUAGAAAUCCAUAGUCAUUACAACAAGAAUAAUGAUUAUAAAUAAGGAAUUAUUUCUUGGAUCAGUAACUAGCACGUCCAAAAAUGGCAGGCUCUGACCUCCACUAUUCUGUCACCCAAAAGUGAAAAAGGAAUCCAAAAAACAAAAAGAUUACAAACACUCUAAGAUUGGACGGACCUGCCCUCUACUAUACAGUACAAUAACUAAGUUUUGAUGAUCAGAGAACUACUUUUGCCUGUAAAUGCUCCGAGGAGUGGGGAUGAAUCCUCAAGUGCUUAUUUAGAUUUCCUUUGGUCAGAAACCCUGGCUCCCAUGAUCUUAACAACAGGCUGCUCUUCUGACUGGAUGAGCUGUAGAGCUGGAUGAACCUUGAGGUCUCCCAUUACCAACUUUUGGCCCACGUCCAGUUCACUUAGAUCCACCUCAAUAUAUGGAGGAAUUAUAUCUGCGGGGCAUAGGAACUUGACGGUCCUCUUAAUGAUAUUCAAAUAAGAACCUUUCCUGAGUCCAGGAGAUACGUCUUCUCCUGUGAAGACAAGAGGAACAUCAACCUUCAACAACGCAGUGGAAGGUGCCCUUAUGAAGGUGAUAUUAAUAGGCGUAUCAGAUAUCGAAUGCAAAUGAAUCUGACACAAUUCAACGAGAGAAAUCUCAACGAAAGAGCUAAUUUAGCAACUUCCAACUUUUAGAAACUUGAUUCUGACAUUUUCUGAUGGGUCACCAUCUCAGUUGGGUAAAAUAUCCAUCAAGUUUCUCAGCAACCAAACACAAUCCCCACAAUUUAUUUAGAAAUCCACAUUAACAUAACAAAAUCCCUAAAAAGUAUCGACACUGAAUAGGAAAGAAGAAAUUACCAAUCUCCGCAAAACCCGAACUUUCUCGAUGAUCUCGUCCGACCCAAACUCCGGUCUGACCUCAAGAUUAAAAAGCCUGGACAAGGAGAAUGAUCCAAGCUUAUCAACCAGGUUCCUAACGUGAUUUGACUGCACCGAAACCAGCCUUUUAUUACCGCCAUGCUGCCCAUCUUCCUGCUCGAACACGAUGCUCGGGACUCGCCUCGCUUUUCGCUUUCGUGGCUAUGCUCUUGCCGGAGGUGGAGCGAGGGAUCGCGAGGAUCGUCUCUGCCGAACCUGGCUUGAGGAGUCCUUCGAGGUAGGUCAGUGGGGCGGCCUCGAUUGCUGGUUCUUCGAUGGAAGCAACGGCGGCGGACUAAGAGAAGAAGCGUAGCUGUUGGGUUUGGUUAGUGCGAAGCGGUGGAUUCUAAACAUAGUGAGAUAGAGAGAGGUGGGUGGAGUGAGGGGUUCAAGGGAGGUUUUUG